AUUGAACGCUGGCGGCAGGCCUAACACAUGCAAGUCGAGCGGAUGACGGGAGCUCGCUCCUUGAUUCAGCGGCGGACGGGUGAGUAAUGCCUAGGAAUCUGCCUGGUAGUGGGGGACAACGUUUCGAAAGGAACGCUAAUACCGCAUACGUCCUACGGGAGAAAGCAGGGGACCUUCGGGCCUUGCGCUAUCAGAUGAGCCUAGGUCGGAUUAGCUAGUUGGUGGGGUAAUGGCUCACCAAGGCGACGAUCCGUAACUGGUCUGAGAGGAUGAUCAGUCACACUGGAACUGAGACACGGUCCAGACUCCUACGGGAGGCAGCAGUGGGGAAUAUUGGACAAUGGGCGAAAGCCUGAUCCAGCCAUGCCGCGUGUGUGAAGAAGGUCUUCGGAUUGUAAAGCACUUUAAGUUGGGAGGAAGGGCAGUAAGUUAAUACCUUGCUGUUUUGACGUUACCGACAGAAUAAGCACCGGCUAACUCUGUGCCAGCAGCCGCGGUAAUACAGAGGGUGCAAGCGUUAAUCGGAAUUACUGGGCGUAAAGCGCGCGUAGGUGGUUUGUUAAGUUGGAUGUGAAAGCCCCGGGCUCAACCUGGGAACUGCAUCCAAAACUGGCAAGCUAGAGUACGGUAGAGGGUGGUGGAAUUUCCUGUGUAGCGGUGAAAUGCGUAGAUAUAGGAAGGAACACCAGUGGCGAAGGCGACCACCUGGACUGAUACUGACACUGAGGUGCGAAAGCGUGGGGAGCAAA
rnacentral:rRNA from 1 species